GUGUGCUCUUUCUCUCUCUCUCUGUCAAAUAAAUAAAUAAAAUCUUAAAAAAAAGCGGAGGCGAACUCACGUAAGGGCAGUGGUGGUUGUGGAGAAUGGUUUGAGUAAAUCUUUGCUGGACUCAUCUGUCCACUACUCCCCCCCCCCCCACCCUUCACCAUUUCGGUAGUACAGUAACUUCUGGAGGAUCAGUAGUUACAGCAGCACACCGGUGCUAGAGAUGACGCGCUGGAUGUAAGAAAAGCAGUUCUCUUCACGCCGGGUAAAAUGGCAGCAAAGUGAGAAUUGCUCUCUGUGCCCCACCCUGACUGGCUUCCCUAGCUACAUCCCACUCCCCUUUCUGAAUGUGACUUCUGAAUCCGAAUCCGAGCGUGUCUCUCGGCAUAACAGACUGCUGAGCUCCUCCUUCAGGAUCCUGUCUGCCCCUUCAGCGGCGUCUCCCUGGGUCUCUUGCCCUUGUGCUGCAGCUGUUCGGAGCCGUCAUCUUUCCCAAACACAGUUCGUUUAUAUCUCCAUGACUUUCAUGUUCCUCCCAGUGCCUGGCUGCCUAGAGAACACCUUCCCAUCUUCUGAGACAAGGUUCAAGUUGCUGCUGUGAAGCCUUACCUGGCCAUCUCCCCUCUUUUGGUGACCAGUGCGCACUCAUUUCUCUUUGGCACAUGCCUGGGAGUGGAGUUGCUGGGCCACAGGAGAAAGAGAUGCUGGAUGCAAGUUUUGAAGACCCCUGCUUUUUAUGGAACGCAGUUCUGUAGAAUUUUCGUAAGCUUCUUCGGCAGUAACGGACACUUGUGAUGGACCCUAGGAAUACUGCUAUGUUAGGAUUGGGUUCUGACUCCGAAGGGUUUUCGAGGAGGAGUCCCUCAGCCGCCGGCGCGGGCCCAGCGGGGAGCGCGAGAGACGCGGAGCCCGCGAGCCCCGGCCGAGGGGAGGAGGACCUUCGCGAGCGGCCCCGGGCGCGGGGCGGCCCGGCCGGCCCGGAGGACGGCGCGAGCGGCGCACAGCAGCAGUUUUCAGUGAAAGAAACAAACUUCUCAGAAGGAAACUUAAAAUUGAAAAUUGGCCUUCAGGCUAAGAGAACGAAGAAGCCUCCGAAGAACUUGGAGAACUAUGUAUGCCGACCUGCCAUAAAGACCAGCGGCAGCAAGCCCGCGAGGCCGGCCCUGAAGAGCGGGAAGAUGACGGGCGAGAAGAGCGAGCGCUGCGCUCCGCGACGGGACCCUUCCAAGUUGUACAAGAAAACAGGUGAUGUCACAGCGGUUGAAUGCCAGUCUGAAGAGAGCGUGCGUCUUCAUUCACAGGGAGCACACAGUCCUCUGUCCAAGAAGCUUUCUCCGGUGCACUCAGAAAUGACAGAUUACAUUAACGCGGCAUCCUCGACUCUUGUUGGUAGCCGGGAUCCUGAUUUAAAGGACAGAGCAUUACUUAAUGGAGGAACGAGUGUAACCGAGAAGUUGGCACAGCUCAUUGCAACUUGUCCUCCCUCUAAGUCUUCCAAGACUAAACCGAAGAAGUUAGGAACUGGCACUGCUGCGGGCUUGGUUAGCAAGGAUUUGAUCAGGAAAGCAGGCGUUGGCUCUGUAGCGGGAAUAAUACAUAAGGACUUAAUAAAAAAACCAGCUAUCAGCACAGCAGUUGGAUUGGUAACUAAAGAUCCUGGGAAAAAGCCGGUGUUUAAUGCAACGGUAGGAUUGGUCAACAAGGACUCCGUGAGAAAACUCGGAGCUGGCAGUGCAGCCGUAUUCAUUAAUAAAGACUUGGGCCGGAAGCCAGGGACUGUCGCUACAGUAGGGCUGCUGAGCAAGGAUUCAGGAAAGAAGCUAGGAAUUGGUAUUGUUCCAGGUUUAGUGAAUAAGGAAUCUGGAAAGAAAUUAGGACUCGGCACUGUGGUCGGACUGGUUAAUAAAGACUUGGGCAAGAAGUUAAGUUCCACCGUCGGCCUGGUGGCCAAGGACUGUGCGAAGAAGAUCGUAGCCAGUUCCGCAAUGGGAUUGGUGACUAAGGACGUGGGAAGGAAACUGGUGAGUUGUUCUGUGGCGGGACUGGUCAGUCAGGACGCCAUAAACCUUAAGGCCGAAGCACUGCUCCCCACUCAGGAACCACUUAAGGCUUCUUGUAGUACAAACGUCAGUAGUCAUGAAAGCCAGGGAAUUCCGGAAUCCCUGAAAGAUAGUACCACCAGCAAAACUUUUGAGAAGAAUGUCAUACGGCAGAGUAAAGAAAGCAUAUUGGAGAAGUUCUCAGUUCGAAAAGAAAUCAUUAAUUUGGAGAAGGAAAUGUUUAGUGAGGGAACAUGCAUUCAGCAGGACAGUUUCUCAGCCAGUGACCGGGGGCCAUACGAAACCGCGAAGCACGAAAAGCAAGCUCCCGUGUACUGCACUUCUCCAGACUUCCAGGCGGGAGCUGCUUCUGACGUGUCCACAGCAAAGUCCCCUUUCAGCGCGGCGGGGGAGGGCAGCCUCCCUUCCCCGUCACCUACUUCAUCGGUUAACCCCUUAACCAGAAGUCCCCCUGAAACGUCUUCACAGUUGGCCCCUCAUCCGUUACUUCUAAGUCCUCCCACGGAAUUGCUGGAGGACAUUUCCGGAUCUGCUGGCAAGAAGCAGUUUCCUACAGAAAGUGCCCACCUGAACGUCGGGCACAGGUCUGUGGGUCACAGCGUGAACAUGGAAUGUAAAGGAAUCGAUAAAGAGCUAGCUGAUUCAAAAGCCACACACAUAGAUAUUCCAAGAAUAAGCUCUUCCCUGGGAAAAAAGCCACCUUUGACUUCGGAGUCCAGUAUUCACGCCAUCACGCCCUCCGUUGUUAACUUCACUAGUCUGUUCAGUAACAAGCCCUUUCUGAAGCUCGGGGCGGUGAGCGCGUCUGACAGGCACUGCCAGGCUGCCGAAAGCCUGAGCUCCAGCUUGCAGUCCAAACCGCUAAAGAAAAGGAAAGGGAGAAAACCUCGGUGGACUAAAGUGGUGGCAAGAAGCACAUGCCGGUCUCCAAAAGGGCUAGAAUUAGAAAGAUCAGAGCUUUUCAAAAACGUUUCAUGCAGUUCACUAUCCGGCGGUAAUGCCGAGCCGGCCAAGUUCAUGAAGAACAUCGGCCCGUCUUCAUUUGUCGACCAUGACUUCCUCAAACGUCGGUUGCCAAAGUUGAGCAAGUCCGCAGCGCCAUCUCUCGCUCUCCUAGCUGAGAGUGAAAAGACAUCGCCCAAGGCUUUCGCUGCUCACAAGCUGCCCUCCAGCAUGUGCGUCUCUAGUGACCUCCUGUCCGGUAUCUAUAAGCCCAAAAGAGGACGACCUAAAGCGAAGGAGAUGCCGCAGCUGGAAGGCCCUCCUAAGAGGACUUUGAAAAUCCCUGCCUCCAAAGUUCUCUCUCUGCAGUCUAAGGAAGAACAGGAACCCCCAAUUUUGCAGCCCGAAAUUGAAAUUCCUUCCUUCAAACAAAGUCUUUCUGUGUCUCCUUUUCCGAAAAAACGAGGCCGACCUAAGAGGCAGAUGAGGUCACCGGUCAAGAUGAAGCCUCCUGUUCUCUCCGUGGCCCCGUUCGUUGCCACUGAGAGUCCAAGCAAGCUGGAGUCGGAAAGUGACAACCAUCGAAGCGGCAGUGACUUCUUUGAGAGUGAGGACCAGCUUCAGGACCCAGACGAUCUGGAUGACAGUCACAGGCCCGCCGUCUGCAGCAUGAGUGACCUUGAGAUGGAGCCAGAUAAAAAAAUUACCAAGAGAAACAAUGGACAGUUAAUGAAAACAAUUAUCCGCAAAAUAAAUAAAAUGAAGACUUUGAAGAGGAAGAAACUGUUAAAUCAGAUCCUUUCAAGCUCCGUAGAAUCCAGUAAUAAGGGGAAAGUGCAAUCCAAGCUCCAUAACACAGUGUCGAGUCUCGCCGCCACCUUCGGCUCUAAGUUGGGCCAGCAGAUAAAUGUCAGCAAGAAAGGAACCAUUUACAUAGGGAAGAGAAGGGGUCGGAAACCCAAAACUGUCUUAAAUGGCAUCCUUUCCGGCAGCCCCAGCAGCCUCGCGGUCCUUGAGCAAACCGCGCAGCAGGCGGCCGGUUCCGCGCUGGGACAGAUACUCCCCCCUCUGCUGCCGUCGCCCGCCAGCGGUUCUGAGAUCCUGCCGUCGCCCGUCUGCUCCCAGUCUUCCGGGACCAGCGGCGGCCAGAGCCCCGUGAGCAGCGACGCGGGCUUCGUGGAGCCCAGCUCGGCGCCGUACUUGCAUUUACACUCCAGCCGGGGCAGCAUGAUUCAGACUCUGGCCAUGAAGAAGGCCGCCAAGGGGAGGAGGCGACUCUCUCCCCCCACUCUGUUGCCCAAUUCUCCCUCACACUUGAGUGAGCUCACCUCCCUGAAGGAAGCAACUCCUUCUCCCAUCAGCGAGUCUCAUAGCGAUGAGACCAUCCCCAGCGACAGUGGCAUCGGGACAGAUAAUAACAGCACGUCAGACAGAGCGGAGAAGUUCUGUGGGCAGAAGAAGAGGAGGCAUUCUUUUGAACACGUGUCUCUGAUUCCCCCUGAAAGCUCCACAGUCCUGAGCGGCCUGAAAGAAAAACACAAGCAUAAGUGCAAGCGCAGGAACCACGAUUACCUCAGCUACGACAAGAUGAAAAGGCAGAAGCGAAAACGGAAAAAGAAAUACCCCCAGCUCCGAAGCAGACAGGACCCAGACUUCAUCGCGGACCUGGAGGAGCUGAUAAGUCGUCUGAGCGAGAUUCGAAUCACCCACCGAAGUCACCACUUCAUCCCGCGAGACCUGCUGCCCACUAUUUUUCGAAUCAAUUUUAACAGUUUCUAUGCGCACCCCUCCUUCCCCUUAGACCCUUUGCACUACAUUCGGAAACCUGAUCUGAAAAAGAAGAGAGGGAGGCCUCCCAAGGUGAGGGAGGCGAUGGCCGAGAUGCCCUUCAUGCACAGCCUUAGCUUUCCUCUUUCCGGUACCGGCUUCUACCCCUCCUACGGCAUGCCUUAUUCUCCCUCGCCCCUGGCGGCCACGCCCCUGGGGCUGGGCUACUACGGAAGGUACCCGCCCGCGCUCUAUCCCCCUCCUCCUUCUCCUUCUUUCACGGCCCCCCUGCCGCCCCCUUCCUACAUGCAUGCCGGCCACCUACUGCUCAAUCCCACCAAAUACCAUAAGAAGAAACACAAGCUGCUUCGACAGGAGGCCUUCCUCACAACCAGCAGGACGCCCCUCCUUUCCAUGAGCACCUACCCCAGCGUCCCUCCCGAGAUGGCCUACGGGUGGAUGGUCGAGCACAAGCACAGGCACCGUCACAAGCACAGGGAACACCGCUCUUCCGAGCAGCCCCAGGUUUCCAUGGACGCGGGCUCUUCCAGGUCUGUUUUGGAGUCUUUGAAGCGCUAUCGAUUUGGAAAGGAAACUGUUGGAGAGCGAUACAAACACAAGGAGAAGCACCGAUGUCAUAUGUCCUGCCCCCAUCUCUCUCCUUCCAAAAGCUUAAUAAAUAGAGAAGAGCAGUGGGUCCACCGGGAGCCUUCAGAAUCUAGCCCACUGGCCCUGGGACUCCAGACGCCUUUACAGAUUGACUGUUCAGAAAGUUCUCCAAGUUUAUCCCUUGGAGGAUUCACUCCCAACUCUGAUCCGGCCAGCAGUGAUGAACAUACGAACCUUUUCACAAGUGCAAUAGUGCAAGGCAGCUGCAGAGUUUCGAACCCUAACUCCAGUGGCCGGAAGAAAGUAACGGACAGCCCUGGACUGUUUUCCGCACAGGACACUUCGCUAGCUCGGCCUCACAGGAAGGAGCCACUGCCUUCCGGCGAAAGGGUAGUGCAGACCAUGACAGGUUCCCAGCCGACGUCAGAGAAGUCUUCCCAGCGGCCGUCAGAGAGCACAAACUGCAGCCCUGCCCGAAAGCGGUCGUCAUCUGAGAGUACUUCUUCGACAGUAAACGGAGUUCCCUCUCGAAGUCCGAGACUGCUUGCUUCUGGGGACGACUCUGUGGGGAGUCUGCUGCAGCGGGUGGUCCAGCACGAGGACCAGGAGCCCCUGGAGAAGAACAUCGAGGCCGGGAUCGCGACUGCCCCAGGGCCCCCGUCCUCCAGCCCAGGACACAGCCACAGCAAGGAGCGGGCCCUGGGGAAGCCGGACAGCCUUCUGGUGCCAGCGGCCCCCACUGACACUUGCGGUGGCGGCAUCUCGCUCCUGUCGGAGAAGCUGCCGAGCAGCUGCUCGCCCCACCACGUCAAGAGAAGUGUCGUGGAAGCCAUGCAGCGCCAAGCUCGGAAAAUGUGCAAUUAUGACAAAAUCUUGGCCACGAAGAAAAACCUGGACCAUGUCAAUAAAAUUUUAAAAGCCAAAAAACUUCAAAGACAGGCCAGGACGGGGAAUAACUUUGUGAAGCGCAGACCGGGGCGACCUCGGAAAUGCCCCCUCCAGGCGGUGGUGUCCAUGCAAGCAUUCCAGGCUGCCCGCUUGGUCAGCCCCGACUCGACCGAGGGCGAGGAGAGCGCGGCCUUGCCGCUCCGCGCCGACACGGUGACGGACGCCAUCGAGGCUGUGGUGCAGAGCGUCACCCUGAGUCCGGAACACAAGAAGGGGCUGAAGCGGAAGAGCUGGCUGUUGGAGGAGCAGGCCAAGAAGAAGCAGAAGCCGUUCCCAGAGGACGAGCAGGAGCGCUGUACGAGCUUUACUACAGCAGCAGUUGAGAUUCCCAGUCCUCCUGAAACCCCAGCCAAGCCUCCUGAACCUGAAAAUACCCUGCAGCCUGUGCUUUCUCUCAUCCCAAGGGAAAAGAAGGCCCCACGUCCCCCAAAGAAGAAGUAUCAGAAAGCAGGGCUGUAUUCUGACGUUUACAAAACUGCAGACCCAAAGAGCCGGUUGAUCCAGUUAAAGAAAGAGAAGCUGGAAUACUGUCCUGGCGAGCACGAGUACGGACUGUUCCCAGCCCCCAUUCAUGUCGGAAAGUAUCUGAGGCAAAAGAGAAUUGACUUCCAGCUCCCCUAUGACAUCCUUUGGCAGUGGAAGCACAACCAGCUGUACAAAAAGCCAGAUGUCCCACUAUAUAAAAAAAUCCGUUCAAAUGUCUACGUUGACGUCAAGCCCCUUUCUGGUUACGAGGCCACCACGUGUAACUGUAAGAAGCCAGAGAAUGACUCCGGGAAGGGCUGUGUGGACGACUGCCUCAAUAGAAUGAUCUUUGCCGAGUGUUCCCCCAACACUUGCCCCUGUGGUGAGCAGUGCUGUAACCAGAGGAUACAGAGGCAUGAGUGGGUGCAGUGUCUAGAACGAUUUCGAGCUGAGGAAAAAGGUUGGGGAAUAAGAACCAAAGAACCCCUGAAAGCUGGGCAGUUCAUCAUCGAAUACCUAGGGGAGGUUGUCAGCGAACAGGAGUUCAGGAACAGGAUGAUCGAGCAGUAUCAUAAUCACAGUGACCACUACUGCCUGAACCUGGAUAGUGGGGCGGUGAUCGACAGCUACCGGAUGGGCAAUGAGGCCCGGUUCAUCAACCACAGUUGCGACCCAAACUGUGAAAUGCAGAAAUGGUCUGUCAAUGGCGUGUACCGGAUCGGACUGUAUGCUCUGAAAGACGUGCCAGCUGGUACCGAGCUCACUUAUGAUUACAACUUCCAUUCCUUUAAUGUGGAAAAACAGCAACUGUGUAAGUGUGGCUUCGAGAAAUGUCGAGGAAUCAUCGGGGGCAAGAGUCAGCGCGUGAACGGACUCACCAGCAGUAAAAGCAGCCAGCCCGUGGCUACGCAUAAGAAGUCCGGACGGUCGAAAGAGAAGAGGAAGUCAAAGCACAAGCUGAAGAAGAGGAGAGGCCACCUCUCCGAAGCACCCAGUGAAAACAUGAACACUCCAGCGAGCUCGGCCCCGCAGAUUCAGAUGAAGCCGAUGUCUAAUCGCGAGAGGAACUUUGUGUUAAAGCAUCAUGUAUUCUUGGUCCGAAACUGGGAGAAGAUUCGGCAGAAACAAGAGGAAGUCAAGCACACCAGCGACAACCUCCACUCUGCGUCGCUCUACAGCCGCUGGAAUGGCAUCUGCCGAGAUGACGGGAACAUCAAGUCCGACGUCUUCAUGACCCAGUUCUCGGCCCUGCAGACAGCACGGUCGGUUCGCACAAGGCGGCUGGCAGCGGCGGAGGAAAACAUUGAGGUGGCGCGGGCAGCCCGCCUCGCCCAAAUCUUCAAAGAGAUCUGUGAUGGCAUCAUCUCCUACAAAGAUUCUUCCCGACAAGCUCUGGCCGCCCCCCUCUUGAACCUCCCCCCAAAGAAAAAGAACGCAGAUUACUACGAGAAGAUCCCGGAGCCGCUGGACCUGGCCACUAUCGAGCGGCAGAUCCUCACCGGCCAUUACAAGACCGUGGAGGCCUUUGAUGCUGACAUGCUCAAGGUGUUCCGCAACGCUGAGAAGUACUACGGGCGCAAGUCGCCCAUCGGGAGGGACGUGUGCCGCCUGCGGAAGACCUACUACAACGCCCGGCACGAGGCGUCGGCGCAAAUCGACGAGAUCGUGGGGGAGACGGCGAGCGAGGCCGACAGCAGCGAGACGUCGGUGUCGGAGAAGGAGAGCGCGCACGAGAAGGACGACGACGUGAUCCGCUGCGUGUGCGGCCUCCACAAGGACGAAGGCCUCAUGAUCCAGUGCGACAAGUGCAUGGUGUGGCAGCACUGCGACUGCAUGGGGGUGACCUCGGACGUGGAGCACUACCUGUGCGAGCAGUGUGACCCGAGGCCUGUGGACAGAGAGGUACCCAUGAUUCCUCGGCCCCACUAUGCCCAGCCGGGCUGUGUCUACUUCAUCUGUUUGCUCCGAGAUGACUUGCUGCUUCGUCAAGGCGACUGCGUGUACCUGAUGCGGGACAGCCGGCGCACACCUGAUGGCCACCCAGUCCGCCAGUCCUACCGACUGUUGUCGCACAUUAACCGAGACAAACUGGACAUCUUCCGCAUUGAGAAGCUUUGGAAGAAUGAAAAAGAGGAACGGUUUGCCUUUGGGCACCACUACUUCCGCCCCCACGAGACCCACCAUUCUCCGUCCCGCCGCUUCUAUCACAACGAGCUAUUCCGGGUGCCACUCUACGAGAUCAUUCCUUUGGAGGCUGUAGUGGGGACCUGCUGUGUCCUGGACCUUUAUACUUACUGUAAAGGGAGACCCAAAGGAGUGAAGGAGCAAGACGUGUACAUCUGUGACUACCGGCUGGACAAGUCCGCGCACCUGUUCUACAAGAUCCACCGGAAUCGCUACCCUGUCUGCACCAAACCCUAUGCCUUCGACCACUUCCCCAAGAAGCUCACUCCCAAAAGAGAUUUCUCCUACUUACGGCAUGUUCUCCCCACCCACCACCAAGCCCUGCCUCUCCUCUGGACUCCUUUGGUCUCGCUCGGGCAACAGCUCUCAGCCUCAUUACGUCCCAGACAACUACAAGAGGAACGGAGGGCGGUCGUCCUGGAAGUCCGAGCGCCCAAAGGCCCCCCUGAAAGACCUGGGCCAGGAGGACGACGCUCUGCCCUUGAUCGAAGAGGUUCUGGCCAGCCAGGAGCAAGCCGCCAACGAGAUGCCCAGCCUGGAGGAGCCAGAGCGGGAGGGGGCCGCUGCGGAAAUCAGCGAGGGGGCCAAGAAGCCAGAGGAGAGUGGGCAGGACCCCCAGCCCGCAUGUACCCCUGAGGAACGAAGGCACAGCCAGCGGGAGCGACUCAACCAGAUCUUACUCAAUCUCCUUGAAAAAAUCCCCGGGAAAAACGCCAUCGACGUGACCUACUUGCUGGAGGAGGGCUCGGGCCGGAAGCUGCGGAGACGCACUUUGUUCAUCCCAGAAAACAGCUUUCGGAAGUGAGCGGCGCGGCGGCUCGAGCGUCCGCCGCCGUGGAGCGCCCAGGCCUGCCUCUGGGCCUCGGAGCGCGGCCGGGGCGGGCGGGGCCGCGUCGCUGGCGUUAGGUACUUCACACACCGUGGAGCUAGCGGAGAGGAAGGGGGUCUGUCUAAACAGCGCGCUCCGACUCGGGCUCCUCUCCACCGCUUCCCCCAGCGGGAUUGCGACGGGAUGAGGACCGGGCACACGGGGGUGACCGGAGCCUCGUGGAACUUGACAACACUCGCCCCUGCCCCCAGGCUGGGUCUUUCCGUGUCACCGAGCUGCUUCCUCUGCCCAGGGGUCCCGCCCCGUCCAGCGGGAGGGGACCCCCCCUUUUCGGUGGGCCCCAGGAGCUACCCCCAGAGACCUCAGACAGAAGCGGCCGCUGGGGCCUCUUUCCAGACAGAUCCUCGCCCGGGAGAGUUUCUCCUUUCUUGCCCAGUCAGGUCAGAGUAAAACGCGAACUGCCGAGUCCAAGCACUUGCGCCCUCCGCGCUUCUCCCUGCCUCUCCCCCCGGAAUGUAAUCGUGGGUCAGGGAAGGCCCCCAUGGGGUCAGAGGGCACAGGACUUGCGGUCGUAGUUUUUGUUUUAACCUUCAUAACCUGCCAGACCUGGUUUUUUCUAACAAGAAGGCCAGGUCCCUGCGGUACCCGGCUGCACCCGCGCUGUGGCCGCGUGUGUCUGCCGGGCCCCAGGGACGGAGACGCGUCUCAGAACAGACUCAGUGUAGAGCCUCCGUAGAAGCGACCCCCAGCCUCCCCGAGUCAGUCCGCAGACGCCGACAGUGUUCGCCGGUCAGAGUGUCUGUCGUGAGUGCGCAGCAUCAGCUCAAAACACUACUCUCGCUUCCUCCGUCACACGGUUUUCAGUGUCCCGCUCGUAGAGACAGGGCUCGCCCCCACGUCCCAUGUCCUCCACCCCCUGGUGACGGCAGCAGGAGGGACAUCAUGAUGUCUCCUUCCUUCCCCUUCUCUUGGCCAGAAGUUACCAGACAAUACUGUCUCUUUAAAAAUAAAAUUUAAAAAGCUUUGCUUUGUUGUCUUCUCAGACAUACACAUGCAUAUACGUUUUAGAUGUUCUUAUAAGAGAAAAGAUGGAUUUUAAAUGUGCCAAGUUGUGUGUGUAUAUAUGUCCGUACGGAUGUGUGUGUGUGUGUCUGCUGCGCGACUCGGGAGCAGUAGAGCAGGACGCACGGCCCCACCGUUCUCGAAGCCCGGACCAAUGCUGUCCUCACUGUACAUUUCCCUGUGAUGCCGACGCUCUGACUUGUUUAGGUAGAAACACGGACACCUUCCAUUCCAUUGAAUCUUUGUUUCUUUUUCUCCUUUCUGUGUCAAUCUUGAGGGAAGAAAAACAAACAAGAGAGACAGGGGAUGCCAAAGAUCCCCUCGAGCAGAGAAAAAGCAGAAUAAAUAUUUUAUUAAAGAAAAAAGAGAAUUAAGAAAAUAGUUUGGAGUAUUUUCUUACUGUAGAGAAGCACUGUACAUUACGACGAGACCUGGGUAUGAGAUACGCACGUGCGGAGCCGGACCGUCGCAUGCCACGCCACGCCACGAAACGUUUAAGUGGUUUCCUUUGGUUUUCAUUGCAGGGAGCUGGGGGGAGGGAGGUGGGAAAUAGGGGCACUUUGGGGGUCUCCUUUUAGUCAAAAAGCAGGAAAAUGACAAGAAAGAGAUUAAAAUUCAAUAUUUCCUUGAAUAGUGUUAAACACUAAAAUUUUAAAAAAGACAAAAAAAGAAAAAAACUUUGUAAAAUGUGAGAACAGAAGCAAAAGACACUACGCUCUGUCAUUUUAUCUUUCUUUUGUUGAAAGACUAAAAACUGAAAUGUUUUUUAGACAAUCAAAUGUUAGGUAAGUGCAAAAACUUGUUUUUUCUUACUGGUGUAGAAAUUAAUGCCUUUUUUUAUUUUUCGGUUAUUUUAUAAUAAUGAAAUAAAAAGAACCCCCCAGCUGCCGGGUGGGUUUCGGUGUUUGCAACGCGGGGCAAGGCACUACACCACUGCGAAUAGAUACAGUUAGUCUGCAUGUCUGUAGGCUGUGUGAUUGCGGAAAACAUAAAUGCUGCUAAUAUAUUUCCUUUUUACAAAAGCAUAUCUAAAUAGAUGAUUGUUUUGAUGUUAAUCUUUGUAAAUUAUGUAUUACCGAUUUUAACAUUGGAUGUAAUUGCAUAAAAAGCUUGCAUCUCAAUCCUUGAAAGUCUAGUAUUAAAUGGAAACACUUUUCCUAACAA